GUGCCUCAUGGGAUGAACAUGUCCCUUACAUAGGACUCCCAUCUGAUUCAUUUUGUUAGCUAAUUUCUAUCUGGUAUUUAGUUAAUCAUAGAUGAUGGGAUGUUU